UGGGGAAUAUUGCACAAUGGGCGCAAGCCUGAUGCAGCCAUGCCGCGUGUAUGAAGAAGGCCUUCGGGUUGUAAAGUACUUUCAGCGGGGAGGAAGGCGAUAAGGUUAAUAACCUUGUCGAUUGACGUUACCCGCAGAAGAAGCACCGGCUAACUCCGUGCCAGCAGCCGCGGUAAUACGGAGGGUGCAAGCGUUAAUCGGAAUUACUGGGCGUAAAGCGCACGCAGGCGGUCUGUCAAGUCGGAUGUGAAAUCCCCGGGCUCAACCUGGGAACUGCAUUCGAAACUGGCAGGCUAGAGUCUUGUAGAGGGGGGUAGAAUUCCAGGUGUAGCGGUGAAAUGCGUAGAGAUCUGGAGGAAUACCGGUGGCGAAGGCGGCCCCCUGACAAAGACUGACGCUCAGGUGCGAAAGCGUGGGGAGCAAACA
rnacentral:rRNA from 1 species